rnacentral:tRNA from 392 species
GGGCCUAUAGCUCAGUUGGUUAGAGCAGAGGACUCAUAAUCCUUUGGUCCACGGUUCAAGUCCGUGUGGGCCCACCA